AGCAGCCGCGGUAAUUCCAGCUCCAAUAGCGUAUAUUAAAGUUGUUGCAGUUAAAAAGCUCGUAGUUGAACUUCGGGAUCAAUUGAUUGGUCAUGCCUUGGUAUGUACUGUUCACAUUGGUUCUCACCUUCUAAUGAACCAUAAUGUCAUUUAUUUGAUGCUAUGGGGAAUUAGGACUGUUACCUUGAAAAAAUUAGAGUGUUUAAAGCAGGCUCA
rnacentral:rRNA from 1 species